CCCCACCGCAAGCACCACCUCCUGAUGGUUAACUAAGACCCCUCUCUCCCUUUUUUUCCCUCCCUUCCCUCCCUUCUCCUCUUUUUUCCUCCACUCCAUAUUUUUUCCCUCCCUGUAUUUCCCUCCAAAUUUGUUCCUUCACUCCCUUCCCCCUCUCUCUCUCUCCCUCCCCUUUCUUUCUCUCCCCUUCCUCCCUUCCUCUUAUCUCCCUUCCUCUUCCUCCCUCUUUCCUUCUCUACCUGUUACACGUUCCCACACCUGUUAAUUAGGGCAGACAGACGGACAGGUAAAGCUCCACGUAUGUAAGAAACCAUAGGAUGAAAAAGAGAAUUAAUUAGUAAUGAUGAUAAAUGUUGGAUAAUUAGCAUAGUUAUUAGAGUUUUGUUUAUGUUUAAUUACCAAAGUUGUUAUGUGUUUUUUGUGUAAUUAUCUGUUAUUAUUGUUGUUAUUAUUCUCUACGGAUUGUGGUUGAGAUUGUUAUUGUUUGCUUAUAAUGUGAGUGUUGAUUGUGUUUCAUUAUUAUUAUUAUUAUUAUUAUUAUUAUUAUUAUUAUUAUUAUUAUUAUUAUUAUUAUUAUUAUUAUUAUUAUUAUUACACUCACACAGCCAUUAAUUCUAUAAGUUCCCUAAUUACUAAAGAUCCUCGUUGAAAUAAAUUAUACCAAAACAACACCAAAAGCUAAAUCUGUCGUCUGUUCUGCAAGAAAUAAAUAAAAAAAACUACAAAAAAAAACAUAUAUAUAUAUCAAGAGAAUCCAUUAUCAACACAUCCAAGGGCUUCCAUCUUUUGUACUGAAGAAGAAGAAGAAGAAGACGCUGAGUAAUUAUAUAAAAAAAAAUCGAGUUAUUGAUAAAACUACAAAAUAAAUAAAAUACAAAUAUAUAUAUCAACAGAACCCAUUAUCAAUACAUCCAAGGGCUUCCAUCUUUUGUACUGAAGAAGAAGAAGAAGAAGAAGACGCUGAGUAAUUAUAUAAAAAAAAAUCGAGUUAUUGAUAAAACUACAAAAUAAAUCAAUAAACAAAUAUAUAUAUCAACAGAACCCAUUAUCAAUACAUCCAAGGGCUUCCAUCUUUUGUACUGAAGAAGAAGAAGAAGAAGACGCUGAGUAAUUAUAUAAAAAAAAAGUCGAGUUAUUGAUAAAACUACAAAAUAAAUAAAA